rnacentral:rRNA from 1 species
UACAGAGGGUGCAAGCGUUGUUCGGAAUUAUUGGGCGUAAAGGGCGCGUAGGCGGUGCGGUAAGUCACCUGUGAAACCUCUGGGCUUAACUCAGAGCCUGCAGGCGAAACUGCCGUGCUUGAGUGUGGGAGAGGUGCGUGGAAUUCCCGGUGUAGCGGUGAAAUGCGUAGAUAUCUGGAGGAACACCGGUGGCGAAGGCGGCAUCCUGGACCAACACUGACACUGAGGAGCGAAAGCCAGGGGAGCAAACGGG